GACGAACGCUGGCGGCGUGCCUAACACAUGCAAGUCGAACGAACUGGCGAACGGGUGAGUAAUACGUGGGUAACCUGCACUCCUGUUUGGGAUAAGGCUUGGAAACGGGGUCUAAUACCGAAUAAAGGGGGAGGGGCUCGCGGCCUAUCGGCUUGUUGUUGGGGUGAUGGACUACGAAGGCGGUGACGGGUGGCCGGGCUGAGCGGGUGACCGGCCACAUUGAGACUGGUAUGCCGCCCAGACGCCGACGGGGGGCAGCAGUGUGGGAUAUUGCACAAUGGUCGAGAGCCUGAUGCAGCGAGGCCGCAUAGGGUAUGAAGGCUUUCGGGUUGUAAAACUCUGUCGCAAUCGAACGGGUAGGUGGAGAAGAAGCGCCGGCUAACUACGUGCCAGCAGCCGCGGUAAUAC
rnacentral:rRNA from 1 species